rnacentral:rRNA from 1 species
CGCUGGCGGCAGGCUUAACACAUGCAAGUCGAGCGGGGAAAGGUAGCUUGCUACCUGACCUAGCGGCGGACGGGUGAGUAAUGCUUAGGAAUCUGCCUAUUAGUGGGGGACAACAUUCCGAAAGGAAUGCUAAUACCGCAUACGCCCUACGGGGGAAAGCAGGGGAUCUUCGGACCUUGCGCUAAUAGAUGAGCCUAAGUCAGAUUAGCUAGUUGGUGGGGUAAAGGCCUACCAAGGCGACGAUCUGUAGCGGGUCUGAGAGGAUGAUCCGCCACACUGGGACUGAGACACGGCCCAGACUCCUACGGGAGGCAGCAGUGGGGAAUAUUGGACAAUGGGCGAAAGCCUGAUCCAGCCAUGCCGCGUGUGUGAAGAAGGCCUUUUGGUUGUAAAGCACUUUAAGCGAGGAGGAGGCUACUUAGAUUAAUACUCUAGGAUAGUGGACGUUACUCGCAGAAUAAGCACCGGCUAACUCUGUGCCAGCAGCCGCGGUAAUACAGAGGGUGCGAGCGUUAAUCGGAUUUACUGGGCGUAAAGCGUGCGUAGGCGGCUUUUUAAGUCGGAUGUGAAAUCCCUGAGCUUAACUUAGGAAUUGCAUUCGAUACUGGGAAGCUAGAGUAUGGGAGAGGAUGGUAGAAUUCCAGGUGUAUCGGUGAAAUGCGUAGAGAUCUGGAGGAAUACCGAUGGCGAAAGCAGCCCAUCUGGCCUAAUACUGACGCUGAG